rnacentral:lncRNA from 1 species
CUCAAUUGCUAAUAAAUGCUCGUAAAAUAUUUGAAUGCAACUAUACCCUCAACAAUUUGCUAUAAAUGUAACGUAAAUAUGCUAUUAUUGAAAAAAAUUCCGACUUGCCGGUUUAAGAUCGAUAACAUUGAUGCUACACUGUUUUCCAAUAUGCUAACCAAUUAUGGAUGAAAACACCAAAUACAGUUUUUUACGGGAAAAAUUGCACAACUACCUCACGCCACUGUGACACCUCGAGAACUAGUUGGCCACUCAGGCCCCUCUGUUCGACACAAACAAACUACCACUCCCACGCUCCCCGUUCUAGAGAUAUACGUGCUGCGCUCACUUACCCACUGCGCUCAGUUACCCCGAGUGACUCUAUAUUUUACACGUGAAGAAAUGCUGAAAAUAAUUUUUUAUCUUAUAUUCAUUGAAAGUAUCCUUAACUGAUU